UAUGUGUUAAACCCUGUCAUCAACAAUCGCAUGCUGCUUCAAAAACAUGUCAGUGUGGUGUAUUUUCCACUUACAAUAGCUUGUUCCUCAAAGGGUUUAACACAUACAUUCCAUCAAUCAAGCUAAACUUGGAAAGGCACAGGGCAAUUCUAUGUUAGCAGGAUUUAGGAACAGAACCAUCUCCCCAUUCCACUAAUACAAAAGAGAAGGGGACAUAGAAGGGAAAGAAAUAAAAAUCCCCAGCAAAGCUUUAAAUCACAGUAUCUUUGCGUGUUGUA
rnacentral:misc_RNA from 1 species